AAGGGAAAAAAGCCCACAGCACCGCGCCGCGCGUGGGGGUGCAGCGCACCAGGCGAGCGGAAAAAUGACCGCACCGCGCAGGGUAGAAAACGGCAUCUAACCCUAGCCCCGAUCCACAGCCCCACGCCCCUCGCUCCUCCCUCCCUCGUCCGCCGCCACUCCCUCCCACCUCCUCCUCCUGCGCCCUAGGAGCCCCGCCGCCGACUGCUACUUCUCCACCGCCUCGCCUCUUCCUCCUCCUCGCCUUCCCAUCGCUCGGGCGCAGGCUGCUGUGGCCAAGCGCUUCGCGGGCGAACCCGUCUCUACCGCCUGCUCUGGGUUCGCGCGGGACGGGCUCCCCCGCGUGGCCGGCCUCGACGAGCACGACCUCGAUCCGGCCUCAGCCGGAGGACCUCGAGCCGAGGAGUGCGGCCUCGAUCGGGACUCGGCAUGUGGGGUGACGGCGGAGGAGGGGAAAGGAGGGGAGCAGCAACCAACAUCUUGGGCGGCGGUGGCUGGACUCCAUGAGCUGGCCGGCGACGGUGGCGGUGCUGGAUUCGAUCUGCAGGUGAGAGAGGGAGGUGUGGCUUCGAAUUGGAGAGGGACUCCACCGGCGUCGGCCCGCGCGAGGAUUGGUGCCGCUCUCCUCGUAGGCCCUCGCUUCAGGUCGCCGAGGAGGGGCUGUAGCCGAGUCUGCAUAGUUGAGGGUAGGGAGGGCUGAGGUGGGAGGGGAAGGAGAUGGUCAUGGAUCUACUCGAGAAGGUGAGAGGACGAAGACAGAGGGGGUGCUCGAGGUGGUCAAGGCGGAGCAGCAGAGGACGGCUCGUCCACGAGCUCAAGUUUAAGGCGGACGGCGGCCUCAACGGGUGGGUGACGACAUCUACACCUGGUUCCACCUUGCUGUGGCAAAAUAGGAGGCCAUUCAUGCAGUCAUGCAGCGGAUGGAGUCCUCGGCAGGUGGGUGAUGGAGGCUGUAGAUGAUGCACGAUGACGGCUCCCAGCGAGGUUCUAUUAAAUGUGAACAUGUUUGCGUCAAGGCUUUGUUGAUGGUUGAAGAAGAAAUCAAGGUCGCCAAAACUCGGGUGCUGCUGAAUUGCUAGAUUACUCCACUGCAAAAAACGCUGGACAGUGGCAAGAAGGAAGAGCUCGGGCCACCCGCGAUGCCAGGCCGCCGGCCCUCCUCCCUCAAGCUCAAGGCGGCGAAGAGAUGGUUGAGAUGGUGUUGCAGCUCCGCAGAUAUCAUACCCAUUCUGCAUAGAUCAUGCUUGAUGUACAAUGAUCUUUGAUAACACCAAAUUAUACAAGUUGGAGAGGAAACUGAAAGUGCAUCUGCUGAGGAUCCAAAGAACAUGCUUCCUGACCCCUCUAAGACCAAAAGAACAGGCAAUGCCGCCAAGGGAGUUGGCGCACCAAAGAAAGCGAGGCAGUAGUUCUUCCAUGGAGCACUUCUUCCAUGCCGUUAUCUAGAUAUGUACAUACGGUAUCUUCUAUAUUCUGCUUGCUUAUCAAGCGAAGUCUACGCUGGAAGGGUAUCAUGCUGACCAUUUAAUUGAAUUUCUCUUACAGAAACCAAUAUUAAUUUAUUCAGAGAACAUCCUUAUUUUUAUUUGUGAGAUAAUUAAUAAAGAUGUUUAUCUUUCCGAGCGACAUCGGACAUCCUA